rnacentral:rRNA from 1 species
GAUGAACGCUGGCGGCGUGCCUAAUACAUGCAAGUCGAGCGAACGGACGAGAAGCUUGCUUCUCUGAUGUUAGCGGCGGACGGGUGAGUAACACGUGGAUAACCUACCUAUAAGACUGGGAUAACUUCGGGAAACCGGAGCUAAUACCGGAUAAUAUUUUGAACCGCAUGGUUCAAAAGUGAAAGACGGUCUUGCUGUCACUUAUAGAUGGAUCCGCGCUGCAUUAGCUAGUUGGUAAGGUAACGGCUUACCAAGGCAACGAUGCAUAGCCGACCUGAGAGGGUGAUCGGCAACACUGGAACUGAGACACGGUCCGGACUCCUACGGGAGGCAGCAGUAGGGAAUCUUCCGCAAUGGGCGAAAGCCUGACGGAGCAACGCCGCGUGAGUGAUGAAGGUCUUCGGAUCGUAAAACUCUGUUAUUAGGGAAGAACAUAUGUGUAAGUAACUGUGCACAUCUUGACGGUACCUAAUCAGAAAGCCACGGCUAACUACGUG